CUUUACUGUAACUUGAAAUUGAAAUUGGACUUUAUUUGCGCAGUAUAGGUGGGAGGCAUUGAAGAUAUUCUUGCGGGAGUAUUGGAGCCAUCAGUGAGAUACCACUCUUGUAAUGUUAGAUUUCUAACUUUGGAUCAUUAUCUGGUCAAAGGACAGUUUCAGGCGGGCAGUUUGACUGGGGCGGUCGCCUCCCAAACGGUAACGGAGGCGCACAAAGGUUUCCUCUGAACGGGUAGAAAUCGUAUCUAGAGUGUAAAGGCAUAAGGAAGCUUGACUGUGAGACCUACAAGUCGAGCAGGGACGAAAGUCGGUCUUAGUGAUCUGACGGUGCUGAGUGGAAAGGCCGUCACUCAACGGAUAAAAGUUA
rnacentral:rRNA from 1 species